rnacentral:SRP_RNA from 1 species
GCCAGGCAUGGUGGUGCAUGCCUGUAGUCCCAGGUACUUGGGAGGCUGAGGUGGGAGGAUUGCUUGAGCCCAGGAGUUCAAGGCUUCAGUGAGCUAUGAUUGUGCUAGGUACUCUAGCCUGGGCCACAGAGUAAGACCCCAUCUCAA